AGGGGGCAAGCGUUGUCCGGAAUUAUUGGGCGUAAAGAGCGUGUAGGCGGUCCGGUAAGUCGGCGGUGAAAGUCCAGGGCUCAACCCUGGGAUGCCGGUCGAUACUGCCGGACUAGAGUUCGGAAGAGGCGAGUGGAAUUCCCGGUGUAGCGGUGAAAUGCGCAGAUAUCGGGAGGAACACCUAUGGCGAAGGCAGCUCGCUGGGACGUUACUGACGCUGAGACGCGAAAGCGUGGGGAGCAAACAGG
rnacentral:rRNA from 1 species